CCUGGGGGACCACCAGUGGCGAAGGCGCCCGGCUGGAACGCGCCCGACGGUGAGGGGCGUAAGCCGGGGGAGCGAACCGGAUUAGAUACCCGGGUAGUCCCGGCUGUAAACUAUGCGGGCCAGGUGUCGGGCGGGCGUUAGAGCCCGCCCGGUGCCGCAGGGAAGCCGUUAAGCCCGCCGCCUGGGGAGUACGGCCGCAAGGCUGAAACUUAAAGGAAUUGGCGGGGGGGCACACAAGGGGUGGAGCCUGCGGCUCAAUUGGAGUCAACGCCGGGAACCUCUGCCGGGGGCGACAGCAGGAUGACGGCCAGGCUAACGACCUUGCCCGACGCGCUGAGGGGAGGUGCAUGGCCGUCGCCAGCUCGUGCUGUGAAGUGUCCUGUUAAGUCAGGCAACGAGCGAGACCCCCGCCCCUAGUUGCGACCCUGCGGGCGACCGCGGGGGCACACUAGGGGGACUGCCGCCGCUAAGGCGGAGGAAGGAGGGGGCCACGGCAGGUCAGCAUGCCCCUAAACCCCCGGGCUGCACGCGGGCUACAAUGGCGGGGACAGCGGGAUCCGACCCCGAAAGGGGGAGGCAAUCCCGUAAACCCCGCCCCAGUAGGAAUCGAGGGCUGCAACUCGCCCUCGUGAACGUGGAAUCCCUAGUAACCGCGUGUCACCAACGCGCGGUGAAUACGUCCCUGCCCCUU
rnacentral:rRNA from 1 species